rnacentral:rRNA from 1 species
UGAGGAAUAUUGGUCAAUGGCCUAACGGCUGAACCAGCAAUGCCGCGUGCGGGAGGAGGCCCUUCGGGGUGUAAACCGCUUUUCUGGGGGAGGAGGAAGGACGCUACCCCAGGAACAAGUCACGGCUAACUACGUGCCAGCAGCCGCGGUAAUACGUAGGUGGCGAACGUUAUCCGGAAUUACUGGGCGUAAAGGGUCCGUAGGCGGGCGCGUCAGUCUGCUGUGAAAGCUUCCGGCUCAACUGGAAGAAGCCAGCAGACACUGCGCGUCUGGAAUCCGGCAGAGGUCGGCAGAAUUCCCGGUGUAGUGGUGGAAUGCGUAGAGAUCGGGAGGAAUACCGAAGGCGAAGGCCGCCGGCUGGGUCGAGAUUGACGCUGAGGGACGAAAGCGUGGGGAGCAAACAGG